CGAAUGCUGACAUAAGUAACGAUAAAGCGGGUGAAAAGCCCGCUCGCCGGAAGACCAAGGGUUCCUGUCCAACGUUAAUCGGGGCAGGGUGAGUCGACCCCUAAGGCGAGGCCGAAAGGCGUAGUCGAUGGGAAACAGGUUAAUAUUCCUGUACUUGGUGUUACUGCGAAGGGGGGACGGAGAAGGCUAUGUUGGCCGGGCGACGGUUGUCCCGGUUUAAGCGUGUAGGCUGGUUUUCCAGGCAAAUCCGGAAAAUCAAGGCUGAGGCGUGAUGACGAGGCACUACGGUGCUGAAGCAACAAAUGCCCUGCUUCCAGGAAAAGCCUCUAAGCAUCAGGUAACAUCAAAUCGUACCCCAAACCGACACAGGUGGUCAGGUAGAGAAUACCAAGGCGCUUGAGAGAACUCGGGUGAAGGAACUAGGCAAAAUGGUGCCGUAACUUCGGGAGAAGGCACGCUGAUAUGUAGGUGAAGUCCCUUGCGGAUGGAGCUGAAAUCAGUCGAAGAUACCAGCUGGCUGCAACUGUUUAUUAAAAACACAGCACUGUGCAAACACGAAAGUGGACGUAUACGGUGUGACGCCUGCCCGGUGCCGGAAGGUUAAUUGAUGGGGUCAGCGCAAGCGAAGCUCUUGAUCGA
rnacentral:rRNA from 1 species